rnacentral:tRNA from 1 species
UCCCAAGUGGCUUGGUGGUAAAGAACCUGCCUACAAUGCAGGAGAUGCAGUUUUGAACCCUGGGUUGGGAA